GACGAACGCUGGCGGCGUGCUUAACACAUGCAAGUCGAACGGAAAGGCCCUGCUUUUGUGGCGUGCUCGAGUAGCGAACGGGUGAGUAACACGUGAGUAACCUGCCCUUGACUUUGGGAUAACUUCAGGAAACUGGGGCUAAUACCGGAUAGGAGCUCCUGCUGCAUGGUGGGGGUUGGAAAGUUUCGGCGGUUGGGGAUGGACUCGCGGCUUAUCAGCUUGUUGGUGGGGUAGUGGCUUACCAAGGCUUUGACGGGUAGCCGGCCUGAGAGGGUGACCGGCCACAUUGGGACUGAGAUACGGCCCAGACUCCUACGGGAGGCAGCAGUGGGGAAUAUUGCACAAUGGGCGGAAGCCUGAUGCAGCAACGCCGCGUGCGGGAUGACGGCCUUCGGGUUGUAAACCGCUUUCGCCUGUGACGAAGCGUGAGUGACGGUAAUGGGUAAAGAAGCACCGGCUAACUACGUG
rnacentral:rRNA from 1 species